UUGUGGAGGAGGACGCCGAAGGUGGGGCUAAUGACUGGGGUGAAGUCGUAACAAGGUAGCCGUACCGGAAGGUGCGGCUGGAUCACCUCCUAACAGGGAGACAACAAAAUGUUUAAUAUUAUUAUUUUGUCACCUUAGGUCGAUCGGUAUCUCACAUUCUUAAUUUAUUAAGGAUUUUAUUUCCUAAGUUUUUCUAGGUCACACCCAUUACAUUUCCUGGGCCAUUAGCUCAGGUGGUUAGAGCGCACCCCUGAUAAGGGUGAGGUCCCUGGUUCAAGUCCAGGAUGGCCCAUAUCUCUAUGUUGGGGGUAUAGCUCAGUUGGUAGAGCGCCUGCUUUGCAAGCAGGAUGUCAGCGGUUCGAGUCCGCUUACCUCCACUGAUUACCACCUCUUCCAUAAUUUUUUUUGAGGAAACGUUUUGAGUAGUGAUCAAAUCCUGAACGAAUCUAGCUUCCUAAUGAAAUCAUUAAGAUGCUGGACUCAUUGAAUUAAUUUCAUUGUUUUCAGAGAACCUUGACAACUGCAUAGAUUAUUUUUAAAGACAAUUAAGCAUCUUUAUGAUGCAGAUUUAUUAUUUGUGCGAAUGCAUUAAUAACAAUUCUAUUAAGCUGAUGCUUCAAUUAUGAAGUUAUUGGUCAAGCUACAA
rnacentral:misc_RNA from 1 species